AUUGCAUUUAUUUGUUUUCAAUCUUUUUUAAUGUGGCUACUAGAAAAUUUUAAAUUACUGUAUGUGGCACAUUGUAUCACAUUAUAUACCUUUUGGACAGCGCUGCUCUAGAGCACUUCCACAACCACUUUUACCAGGACACAUUUGGCUAUCCUCUUACGAGACAGGCUGGUCAUGUAACAAUAGGGGCAAGGAGUAACAUGUCCUCUCAUCAACUGGGUCUGAGUAAAGUGUGUAGCAAGCUCUACCCACAAUUUCACCAUGUGAGACAACACUGUGAUAAUUCCUCAAUAUGGAAGAAAAAAAUUAGUUAUCAGCACUCAAAUUGAAAUUGAGUACUGCAGACAACUUAAAAGAGAUAGAGCCACCUGCUCUAAGGUCUUGGUUUCAUUUCCCAACUGCGGACCUUAAAAUAGACAAUAAAGCACCGCUUCCAAAAAAAGAGGUAAAAUGUUUCAACGGUAGCUAUCUAGCAAUCCUUAUUAAAUAAGCAGAAAUCGGUCUUAAAUUUUAUCUCUUCAACUUCUAAAGUCACAGAAUACACGCUGUGCUAGGAAAUCAACUUCAGAUUGCCAGCAUUUCCCUCACAAGCAAAUUAGCAGGAUUGUGCGCUUGGAAUAUUGUUUGACAAGAAUGAAAAGGAAACUAUUCAAAAUAGAUUUAAGGAAUGGACAAUUAGAUGAGGAACUGCAGAUUUAAUUCUCAAUCAGCACUGUGAUUAAUCUGAUUCCCUGCUUUUCCCUAGCGUAAUUAUACAACACAGAUGAAAGGAUGAGCAUUUGGACUGUCAGUUCUAUAUUCUAGACCAGCCCGGUGACUCAAAGCAGACGGCUCUACCACGCUAACCACCAUCCCAACAACAGUCGAAGGGAGCCUCGAGCACUGAUUGAACAGUCAUUGCAUAACGAGGCAUUAAAAAUUCGAAUGCCCCCAACUCUUUCCACAUUCGUCUACACCAGGAGGGAAUUUGCUGAAACUGAACGCACCCCGUCUUCAAUGACCCCCUCCAAUCCGGGCAUGGGGUGAACACAAAGGCAUCUGUCUAAUAUCCUGCACAAUAGACACACACCCCACAAUUAAAAAGCCUGAACGCUCUUUCUCUCUUUCUCUCUCUCCAUGCAAGCAAAGGAAAUACAAGCUGCUCUUUUCAUAAAUGGUCUAUGGUACACGAAAGGUAACAAUAACCCCAACUGUUCCCAGGAAGCAACUAAAAUCGGUUCUGCCACGUCCCUGUGCAACCGUCAGAUAAAAUGCAGCAGCCAGCCCCACGCCUUACAGGGUGGCCAACCUCUGCUCGUUGGCCUCAAUGGAUCGCAGAGAACCCCCCUAGGACCCCAGGAGAUCCAGUGCCUAUUAAGUGCCUGGCACAGUGCUCAGCAUGGGAGGCAUGCUGGGUAACACAACAGAAGAAGAUAGCUUCAUCCAGAGAUCACAGCACAUGGAUAUAGAAUAUGAAACUAACAUAUGUGCUCUCAGAGAAGACAACAUUGUGUGUAAAAUGGGAACUUAAUCUAGACUGGAGGUGUGACAGUGGGAGGUCAGGUAUUGUGAUUUUCAAAAGCAGCAAGACUGCAACAGCAAAAGGGAGACAACAGCGAUGGAAAAGCAAUAUUUGGGAAUUCACUU